CUCUGUUUAAACAACUAAAAUUAAAUUUUGUUAUACUAUUACAAAAUUAAAUUUUGUUAUACUAUACUAUGUUAUGCUAUACGUAAUUUUCCGAAUGACCAACCUGAUUUUCCGAAUAUGUUAAUUCUAAAAAAGUUGGGGGGGUUAGCCACCUCCCCAAUACCCCCCUUCGCUUCGGCCCUGCCAUUGUUUAUACAUGUUAUUUAUAUUGUGCAAAUGUUCCUGUGCUGUUUUGUACUUGUGUGUGAAGGCAUGAAGCUGUGCAUUAUGUGUAUUGUAUUUUGUUAAACCAGGUCCGUCAACGUAAUUGGCUUACGCUGUGUUGACGUUCCUGUGCCGUUUUGUACUAGCGUAAAUUUU